rnacentral:misc_RNA from 1 species
GACGAACCGUCCGAACGUUAUUCGGAAUCACUGGGCUUAAAGGGCGCGUAGGCGGCUUGCCAAGUCAGGGGUGAAAUCCCACAGCUUAACUGUGGAAGUGCCUUUGAUACUGGCGAGCUCGAGGGAGGUAGGGGUCUGUGGAACUUCUGGUGGAGCGGUGAAAUGCGUUGAUAUCAGAAGGAACGCCGGUGGCGAAAGCGACGGACUGGACCUCUUCUGACGCUGAGGCGCGAAAGCUAGGGGAGCAAACGGG